UCAUAUGAUUUCCUUAUAAGCACAGGAAUAAUUCAGGACCAAACAAAGCUCUGCUUUCUUUUCUCCUCAACCCCUGCUGAAUUUCCCCAAUCUGAAAACAGGCACAGCCCAUGUGCCAACAAUGCCAGAGCCUGGAGCUGAUAGAGUACACUGGGGCUAGGCUUAGAGGGGACAGACAGUAUGACCUUCAGAGAAAGUGGGAUGUAUGACUCCAUCUAGCCUAAGAGGGUGCCCCGGUGGCUUGGACGUGUGUGUGACAAACACAUAGGCUGAUCAGGCAAACUCUCAGGGUCUCAACCCACACACCAACCCCUCCUCAGUGACCAGGAGGCCCAAGAGCUACUAUCAUUGUUUGUGUCCAGAUCCCCAGGAAUUUAUCUUCUCCAGAAGCAACGCUUCUACAUCAGGAUCAAUGUCAGCUCAGGCUCCUUAGUUCAUUUGCACUCACAGCCGUCUCCAACCUGGACAUCGAGAGUAAACUGAGUGUGUACUACCGCGCACCGUGGCAGCAGCAGAGAAACAUCUUCCUCCCGGCCACCAGGCCAUCCUGUGUGGAGGAGCUGCACCGCCAUGCCCGGCAGAGUCUGCAAGCUCUGCGCAGAGAACACCGGAGCCGGAGUGAUCGCCGAGAGCAGAGAGCUGCUGCACCCCUGUGCAUAGCUGCACCGACACUGCCAGCCUACCCUCCAGCUCACACCCAGAGGAGGCGCGAGGUGAAGGACCGCCACUUCCUCACGGUAAGCUUGGUGGCCACUGGCAGCAAACGUGAGUUUGCCUUGGGAGUCAGUUUCCCCCUCCCAUUGAGCGAAGCUGGGCUGGCUGAGAGAGCAAAUCAUGGGCACUUGGGAACAAGUGAACUUUCCCCUUUUAA
rnacentral:lncRNA from 1 species